rnacentral:rRNA from 1 species
UGAUGCGAUCAUACCAGCACUAAUGCACUUGAUCCUAUCAGAACACCGUAGUUAAGCGUGUUUGGGCGAGAGUAGUACUAGGACGGGUGACCUCCAGGAAAGUCCUCGUGUUGCAUAAC